rnacentral:rRNA from 1 species
ACGAAGGGGGCUAGCGUUGCUCGGAAUCACUGGGCGUAAAGCGCACGUAGGCGGGUCCUUAAGUCAGGGGUGAAAUCCCGGAGCUCAACUCCGGAACUGCCUUUGAUACUGGGGAUCUUGAGUCCGGAAGAGGUGAGUGGAACUCCGAGUGUAGAGGUGAAAUUCGUAGAUAUUCGGAAGAACACCAGUGGCGAAGGCGGCUCACUGGUCCGGUACUGACGCUGAGGUGCGAAAGCGUGGGGAGCAAACAGGA